rnacentral:rRNA from 1 species
UACGUAGGGGGCUAGCGUUGUUCGGAUUUACUGGGCGUAAAGGGCGCGUACGGCGGUCAGCACAAGUCAGUUGUGAAAUCUCCGGGCUUAACUCGGAAAGGUCAACUGAUACUGUGCGACUAGAGUGCGGAAGGGGCAACUGGAAUUCUCGGUGUAGCGGUGAAAUGCGUAGAUAUCGAGAGGAACACCUGCGGCGAAGGCGGGUUGCUGGGCCGACACUGACGCUGAUGCGCGAAAGCCAGGGGAGCGAACGGG